GUGAGACUCUACUGUAUAUUUGUAAUCUUAUAUUAUCUGCCUAGAACUGCCCCUUCUACACAGCUGUAUAAAAUGCACACUGAAGUGAAUUAUCUGGCAGUGUGGACUCAAGAUAAUCCAGUUCAAAGCAGAUAAUAUAAGAUUCUAAAUGGGUAAUAUAGCUGUGUGGAAUGGCCUUGAGUCUACACUGCCAUAUAAUCCAGUUAAAAUCAGAUAAUUUGUAUCUUAUAGGCAGUGUGGAAGAGGCCUGAGGCCUAACUGUGCCUGUCCCCUGGACUGAAUAGGUUGCUAAGAGACCAAGUGGGCGGAGCUUAGCCCUCUAACUGGCAGCAAUUGGAUAAAAACAAUUAUUCCUUUCCCUCUAAUUGGGACUUUAUUUUUCUUUUCUUUUUGUUGUAUCAACCUAGAGUUGUGGAUGAUGGGUUGUGUUGUCAAAUUUCGAGGUUGGGGGGCCUGUAGUUUUGUUGGUCGCCGUGAUGCCAUCACUCUUUUAUAUAUAUAGAUUGUAUGUACAUAUAACUUGUAAGCAGCCCUGAGUCCCCUUUGGGGUGAGAAGGGCGGGAUAUAAAUGUCGCUAAUAAAUAA
rnacentral:lncRNA from 11 species